rnacentral:rRNA from 1 species
UACAUGUGGGGCAAGCGUUGUUCGGAAUUACUGGGCAUAAAGGGUGCGUAGGUGGCUUGUUAAGUCAGGGGUGAAAGUUUUCGGCCCAACCGGAAAUGGCCUUUGAUACUGGCAAGCUAGAGUCCGGAAGAGGUAAGUGGAACUCCUAGUGUAGAGGUGGAAUUCGUAGAUAUUAGGAAGAACACCAGUGGCGAAGGCGGCUUACUGGUCCGGAACUGACGCUGAGGUGCGAAAGCGUGGGGAGCAAACAGG